rnacentral:siRNA from 1 species
UGCGAGUGGUUUGCGAGGGUUGAU